CCUACGGGUGGCAGCAGUGAGGAAUAUUGGUCAAUGGUCGUGAGCCUGAACCAGCCAAGCCGCGUGAGGGAGGAAGGUACAAAGUAUCGUAAACCUCUUUUGUCAGGGAACAAAGGCUGGGACGUGUCCCCUGGUUGAUGUACCUGAAGAAAAAGCAUCGGCUAACUCCGUGCCAGCAGGCGCGGUAAUACGGAGGAUGCGAGCGUUAUUCGGCUUUAUUGGGUUUAAAGGGUGCGCAGGCGGUCUGUUAAGUCAGCGGUGAAAGCCCGGGGGCCAACCCAAGCACCGCGGUUGAAACUGGCAGUCUAGAGUUGGAGAGAGGGAUGCGGAAUGCGUGGUGUAGCGGUGAAAUGCAUAGAUAUCGCGCAGAACGCCGAUUGCGAAGGCAGCAUGCCGGCCCAAGACUGACGCUGAGGCACGAAAGCGUGGGGAUCGAACAGGAUUAGAUACCCUUGUAGUC
rnacentral:rRNA from 1 species